GAAACUAGCCAUGGCUGGCGACAACUGAAGCAUGUGUGGCUGGGAGAAGAACACAAUCAAAGGAGAGGGGAUUGUCUUUCUAUCACAUUAUUCAAAUUGGUUUGUAUCAUAGCUUGGAGAAUGCCCUGUUUGAAAGGAAGGGGGAUAUCUGGUUUGACUUAACUGAUUCAGAUACAAUGAUAGGAUGUCCUCGACAAAACAGAUAUGUGCGCUAUGCCAUCAAUUUGUUGGCCCAAUUCUCCCAGAAUAAUUAAAAGAUUGUUAAAAGCCAGAAGGGAAUUUUGCUUUCCAGUGAGGCAACACUAGAGAUUGGUUCCAUUGGCUCCCAUUAAUUUUGUUCUUUUCAUAUUAUGGCCAUUGCAUGGCCUUUCCGGUCCAAGCUCAUGUCUCUAUGCCAGAGGGUUUCAAACCCAUCUGGGUACCUAUCUUUUCAAUUAUUCCACUGGUUUCCCAAAAUGGGUUACUUUCCUUUGCUUGUUUUGCAUAUAAAGGGUUUGUACAAGUUGUGUAAUUUUCCCCCUAAUUUGUGGGUAUUGAGAAGAAGAAUGGUUCCAUUUGCUCUUCGCUUUUGCUUAUAUACUCUAUACCCUGAGGAGUGGAUUAGCAGAAGAAAGAGUAUAAGUAGACCUACUGUAUUGAGAACUAUUUCUCUGAUUAAUCCAUAUUCAUUUACUGGUUUAGUUGUUUCUGAAUCAUGGGUUUGCCCACAAUUUUUGAGGUGAUAUUUCCAAACUCUUGGUUAUUGGGAACUACCAUUUGAACUAAUUUAUGCCCUCUUGUUUCAAGUACCUAAAAUUUGGAUUUAAUAUUUGUCAACUUCCUCUGAAAUCGGUGUAGGGUUUAGGGUUUAGGGUUUAGGGUACAUUUAUGUUUCUAAUUUGAUUUUUCUUCAUUCUGCUCAAGGCAACCUUCAGUAUUCAAAAAAUUGAAGAAACUCUUUUCUGGUUUUCCCAGUUGUUCAAGCUUCACUUUAUGCAGAAAUGGAUUGCUUCAAUGAUUAAGCAAGUUCCAGAGGUUUAGAGGAGUCCGGCAGCUUUGAUAGUUCUCAUCACCAUCCUGCAUGUUGUUUUUAUUUUUGGGUUUAGAAGCUGCUAUUUGGGGAAUUCACUUCUUGCAAAAUCUCGUUUAGCAUGUUGUCAGGUGCAGCAUUUAGGAAAAUUCCUUAAAAAUUGGGAGUGUUCUUGAAAGAUCUAAUAAAUGGAGGGCUCUGUUGCACCAUACGACCAGCGCCACAGGUGUACACACAUAAAGGUUUUAGGACAAAAGGGUCAGUGGAAGAGGGAGGCAGAAAUAGGCAAGCAAUGAUGGAAGGGAUCUCCAUGAGGGAUAUUUCUGUUCCACAAACAAGGAGAGCGACUACACACAAAACAUGUUGAUAGCACAUCAACUAGAGAGUUGAAUCUCAAACAGGCACGCGUGAGUGUUGCUUUGGAAGGCUGCAAGGAGCUACUUUGUUUGGACAGAAAUGAGCAAAUGGAUGCUAAGCUGUUCAUAUACCAUUUCACUGAAGGAAGAUCUGAUUCGCGCCUACAAGCCAUGAAAUGAUAGAGAGAAGAAUGCUUGCAUAUGAUGAAUGGAUUGAAAGUGCAAUGAGGUUUUGGCUGUAACCAAUACACAGCCCUUGUCCAACACUUCAUAUGGAAUGGCAUGUAUGCCACUUUGAAGGCUAAAACUAGUGUGAUGGCCUAACCGAAAGCUAGAAGGAGAUUUCAAUGGUCAAUAUCCCAUUGGAGGGUAUAUUCCCCCAUGACAACCUGACAGGUAAGUCAGUCAUAAUAUCCCAAAUAUUCUCGGGUAUCCAUCGGUGGGGUCUCAUUGUUUGGGGAUCGCAUAUCCUAAUCAAGCAAUCAUGAUCAUCACAAUGAAUAUGCACUAAUAUUAUUUGAUUGCUCUUCUCUUACUGUCU